CGCGAAACCUUUACAAUGCACGAAAGUGUGAUAAGGCAACUCCUUGUGCUUAUCCAAAAGAUAGGCUUUUUAGUAUGUAAUGUAUACUAAGAAUAAGUGGAUGGGCAAGACCGGGUGGCCAGGCAGCCGCGGUAAAUACCGGCGUCAACAAGUGGAGAUCACGAUUACUGGGUCUAAAAGUGUUCGUAGCUGGUCAUAUAAGUCUCUUGUGAAAGUUCUGUAGCUUAACUCAGAA
rnacentral:rRNA from 1 species